GCUGCGGAGGCUCGUAGAUGAAGUCCACCUCGACCUUUCCCACCUCCGAAACGGUGCCGUACAUGAACCCCCCGCGCUUGACGGCGAAGGCGAGAGUGUCGUUGACGUAGUGCUGGAACGCGUUGGCGCAGUCGCGGUCGAAGGAGACGAGCUCGCAGUGUGGAUUCUCCUGGCGCGUGACGCGCAUCUGCUUGGCGAUGAGGUCGUCCAUGGUCAUCUUGCGGCCGAAGGAGCCGGCGGGGUUGAAGGCGGGGCCCGCCACGCGCCGCUCGCCCUCGUAGGCCAAGAAGACGAUGGAGCCGUGGCCGAGGUUAAGAGACGAGAGAGACGCAUCGAGGUUGGACAUGUCGGUGAAUCGGAGGAGAUCUUCGAGGGAUUUGGCCAAGAGGAGGUUCUGGUUGGUGGAGAGGGUUUGGUUGUGAACCGGGAUUCCCAAUUGGGUUUGGAUAA
rnacentral:lncRNA from 1 species